rnacentral:rRNA from 1 species
AGCGAACGCUGGCGGCAUGCCUAACACAUGCAAGUCGCACGGGGGGGCUUCGGCCUCCCAGUGGCGGACGGGUGAGGAACGCGUAGGGACCUGUCGAGGGGUGGUGGAUAACCGCGGGAAACUGCGGCUAAUACCGCAUGACGCCGCGGCGUGACAUCCGGGGCCACAGGCGAAAGCCGCCCUCCGCGGGGCGGCCGUCGGAUUAGCAGGUUGGCGGGGUGGCGGGACACCAAGGCGUGGAACGGUAGCUGGGAGGAGAGGGUGGGCAGCCACCCCGGGACUGAGCCACGGUCGGGACUCCUACGGGAGGCAGCAGUGGGUAAUAUUGGACCACGGGCGCAAGGCUGAUCCAGCACGGCCGGGUGAGUGAAGAAGGUCGUCGGAUAGUAAAGCCCUUGCGGCGGUGACGAUGGUGACGGUACCCGCAGAAGAAGCCCCGGCUAACUUCGUG